rnacentral:rRNA from 1 species
CCUACGGGAGGCAGCAGUGAGGAAUAUUGGUCAAUGGACGCAAGUCUGAACCAGCCAUGCCGCGUGCAGGAAGACUGCUCUAUGAGUUGUAAACUGCUUUUGUACGGGGGUAAACGCAGAUACGCGUACCUUUCUGAAAGUAUCGUACGAAUAAGGAUCGGCUAACUCCGUGCCAGCAGCCGCGGUAAUACGGAGGAUUCAAGCGUUAUCCGGAUUUAUUGGGUUUAAAGGGUGCGUAGGUGGUGUGUUAAGUUAGGGGUGAAAGUUGGAGGCUCAACUGGAAAAUUGCCAUUGAUACGGGGAGCCGUGAGGACAGUUGAGGUAGGCGGAAUGCGUGGGGUAGCGGUGAAAGGAUUAGAUAUCACGAAGAACCCCGAGUGCGAAGGCAGCUUACGAAACUGCCACUGAGAUUGAUGCACGAAAGUGGGGGUAUCAAACAGGAUUAGAGACCCUUGUAGUC